GCCAGUGGUAGCAAGAGGAGCACGCUGGGGAAAUGUUUGCUGCAGGAGCCGACUACCGGAGCCGCUGAGCGUCUGAAUCAGAGCCGUAUGCCGAUUGAAUCACGGAAUUGGCCAGGUUGAUGGCGAGCUAAGAGUCUAGCCUGGGCACAAAGCCUGAAGACUGUGCAGGGAAGGAAUCAACUGAACCACCACUGCUCUAGUCGGGCUGGUAGGAGGCUCUUUUGUGCAGCUGCUCCUCUUUCUAACUUUUGCCCCCUUGCAACUCACUAACGGCCCAUACAUCCACUACACACAUUCACCUCCCAAUACGGACCUUUUCCCCCUUCCAUUGGACACUCAACCGUUGGGCCGUUGUACUGUGGUUGUGCUUUGCCAUUACAGGCGAAGCUUGAACUCCCUUUCUGGGCAAUUAUGGAUCAUCUGUGCACUGCAAAGUCAUUUAAUGUCGAAUGAUAAAAUGAACUGUAUAUAUUGUGUUUUCCUAUGAAUGGCCAUUAGUAUUCUUAUUCUAUUCAUUGCUGUUAAUAUUUAAUGUGUUUAUGGUUCACAAUUAUAUGGUGUCGCUAAACCUAAACUGUGUUCAGUGUCUCACUCU